rnacentral:rRNA from 1 species
ACAUGCAGAGAACUUUCCAGAGAUGGAUUGGUGCCUUCGGGAACGUCUGACACAGGUGCUGCAUGGCUGUCGUCAGCUCGUGUCGUGAGAUGUUGGGUUAAGUCCCGUAACGAGCGCAACCCCUGUCCUUAGUUACCAGCACGUUAUGGUGGGCACUCUAAGGAGACUGCCGGUGACAAACCGGAGGAAGGUGGGGAUGACGUCAAGUCCUCAUGGCCUUUAUGACCAGGGCUACACACGUACUACAAUGGCCGAUACAAAGGGCAGCGACACUGCGAGGUGAAGCCAAUCCCGUAAAAUCGGUCUCAGUCCGGAUUGGAGUCUGCAACUCGACUCCAUGAAGUUGGAAUCGCUAGUAAUCGUGGAUCAGCAUGCCACGGUGAAUACGUUCCCGGGCCUU